CCUAGCUAGCAUGCAAUUGUUAACCAUGCUAGGUAGUGGAUUGUUCAUGCGCUUGACUAUAUAUAGGGUGCUCCUCUCUGCAUGGUGUCCAUAAGUCCCUCAUACUCCAUAUAUACCUUUGUACUACUACCACCACUUAAACUUUCAUUUGUGUUGAACUAGCUUCAUCAUGAGCAAGCCUGUGAAGAUUGGUCUAUGGGGUGGAGUUGGAGGCCAGCCUCGUGACGUAACACAUGCUCCCCACCGACUAGCCCGGGUGGAAAUUUCUGGUGCAGACGCAAUCCACUCCAUCAAGCUUACAUAUGAUGAUAGAGAAAUGUAUUUUUUAGGUCGUCAGUCUCAACCCUUGCAUGUUCACCCUUAACAUCCUACUAGUCAACUGAUGUUUUGUAGUACAAUGUCGGCCCCUUAUACGGGUAAUCAAUCACUACUUACAUUCAACCUUCUCUGGAUGCAACUCAUUGCGGUCGCAUUAAAUAUUCAUGGUCCUAUCGUUUGCAUAA